rnacentral:lncRNA from 1 species
CAAUAUGAAUGAGUUGGUAAUUGCUUGCGCCUAAGUGUGAACAAGUCUAGAUCGGUAUAUUUACUUUGUUUUCUUUUCUUCUGUAGAACACUUCAGACAAGUUAUGUCUUAAUCACUUUAUCGGUCUCCCAUAGUUUUGUAAAAAAUAAAAGCCGCAUUCUAACAACUUUUCUAAUCCCAACAAAAAUCUAUUUAUUAUUCAAUGUUCUACCAACUUUGUUCUAUAUAUAUUCAGGACUCCAUAACCAUUCAACACUCUACCAACCU